AGCGAGCGCAGGCGGUUUCUUAAGUCUGAUGUGAAAGCCCCCGGCUCAACCGGGGAGGGUCAUUGGAAACUGGGAGACUUGAGUGCAGAAGAGGAGAGUGGAAUUCCAUGUGUAGCGGUGAAAUGCGUAGAUAUAUGGAGGAACACCAGUGGCGAAGGCGGCUCUCUGGUCUGUAACUGACGCUGAGGCUCGAAAGCGUGGGGAGCAAACAGGAUUAGAUACCCUGGUAGUCCACGCCGUAAACGAUGAGUGCUAAGUGUUGGAGGGUUUCCGCCCUUCAAUGCUGCAGCAUACGCAUUAAGCACUCCCCCUGGGGAGUACGACCGCACGGUUGAAACUCAAAGGAAUUGACGGGCGCCCGCACUAGCGUUGGAGCAUGUGGUUUAAUU
rnacentral:rRNA from 1 species